rnacentral:rRNA from 1 species
ACGCUGGCGGCGUGCUUAACACAUGCAAGUCGAACGGAAAGGCCCUGCUUUUGUGGGGUGCUCGAGUGGCGAACGGGUGAGUAACACGUGAGUAACCUGCCCUUGACUUUGGGAUAACUUCAGGAAACUGGGGCUAAUACCGGAUAGGAGCUCCUGCUGCAUGGUGGGGGUUGGAAAGUUUCGGCGGUUGGGGAUAGACUCGCGGCUUAUCAGCUUGUUGGUGGGGUAGUGGCUUACCAAGGCUUUGACGGGUAGCCGGCCUGAGAGGGUGACCGGCCACAUUGGGACUGAGAUACGGCCCAGACUCCUACGGGAGGCAGCAGUGGGGAAUAUUGCACAAUGGGCGGAAGCCUGAUGCAGCAACGCCGCGUGCGGGAUGACGGCCUUCGGGUUGUAAACCGCUUUCGCCUGUGACGAAGCGUGAGUGACGGUAAUGGGUAAAGAAGCACCGGCUAACUACGUG